CUGAUGGUCAGGUCCAUGAUGCUGGAGGUCUCCUCUCUUUUCAGCAUGGUGAGUGUCUUCUCAGGCCCAGUGACCCCAUAGGCAAACACUACAGAAGACAGAGCAUGGAGGAGGCCCCAGUGCACUGCCGCCCAGCUCAGCCCUUCUCUCCCCAUGCCCCUCUCAUUUGCCUUUUAUGUAUCCCAGUCCACUGCUCCCACCACUCACACAACCCAUGUUCCCACUGCAGUGUUGGCAUACUCCACGUGUCUGUUCUGGCUCCCCCCUAGGCUGGUGGAUUUCAGGACAACUAGAUCUCCAUUGCUGUGAGCACCAAGAGAACAUAAACCACGUUGGUCUGGUUUGCUAUUGUAUUCCCAGGCCCAGUAACAUGCCUCACAUGUAGCAGAAUGAAUAAAUGGGGCCACACAGAGCAUGAAGAGGCCAGAGCUAUCCUCAAUAAAUCAUGCCCAGAUGUGGGAGGCCAGAAGAAACAUGAAACCCUGCCCUAGUUCCACAAGGCUAUUGACAAGUGGAACCCAGGUUAUCAUCUUAGCAAUUGUAACUCUGAAGGAAGCGUUCCACAAUGCUGUAUGUUGUGUGCUGAACACAUCCUGAUAUGUGGCCACCUCAUCAAAAAUCCAAGCAAAGACAAUGUCAGGUCUUUGUUCUUCUUAG
rnacentral:lncRNA from 10 species